rnacentral:miRNA from 1 species
UAUUAAUGGGUUGGAAUGUAACUCAGUGGUAAAGUGCUUGCCCAGCAUGUGUAAGGUCCUGGGUUCAAUCCCUAGCACCACAAACAAAGCCUGGCUAUUAU